UUUUGAGACAGAGUCUCCCUCUCUCACCCAGGUUAGAGUGGAGUGGCGCGAUCUUGGCUCACUGCAACCUCUGCCUCCCAGGUUCAAGCAAUUCUCCUGCCUCAGCUUCCUGAGUAGCUGGGAUUACAGGUGCCCACCACCACACCUGGCUAAUUUUUGUAUUUUUAGUAUUUCACCAUGUUGGUGGGGCUGGUCUCGAACUCCUGACCUCAAGUGAUCCUCCUGCCUUGGCCUCCCAAAGCACUGGGAUUACAGGCAUGAGCCACUACCCCCGGCCUCAGGUCCCCUCUUCUGAUAACCCAUCCAGGACCUGCAGCCCACCUGCCCUGCCAUCCUCUCUAGGGCCUGCCCCACACCAGCGAGCCAGUAACCGCACCUUCCCACUGCAGUGAGAGGGCAGCAGAAUCCAGGGCGCCUUUCUGGGAGCAGAUAGCUUUGAGGAGAAUGCUGCAGGAGAGGUCAAAUGUGAACUGGCCACGAUGGGGGCACGGAGGGGAUCCCAGGAGUGCCUUUGCACCACCUGAGCAAAAGUGAGGUGUUCCCUCCCUGUGCUCUGGGGCUGGGGGGGCUGAGCCCCGAGGGGCCCCCUUUCUUCUCAUCCUGUUACCAGUUUUCCAGGAAGUUUGGAGUCUCCCCCUGCCCUCCCCCACCUACCAGGGUGAAGGUUUGUGGGGAAUGUUCUCCCGCAGAACUCGGCAUGAAAUAAAUUCCAUUCUUACUCUGCAAAUGACACUGCACAUAAAUAUUCAGUAAAUUAGCAGCACGCUUUUAUAGAUUUAUCAGUCAUUGCAGGCACAAAAUGACAGGCAAUGUUGUAGCUGAAAUAUUAAUGCUGACAAAUUAAUGAUUUCUGAGUAAAUGAUGUCAUUUUUGCACCGUUUCAUUAAAAUUUACUCACUUCUGCUUCAUUUCUGGACCUAAAAAAAUUAAAAUCAUUUCCUUCUCUCUUUCUUCUUUCUUUUUAGUGUGGGAUUGGUUCCCAAACCUGAGAGGGAUAUAAAUUUUCCCCAGAAGCACCCCAAAACAGAGGUGGGAAGCCAGGCAGGGCUAGCAUUCCUCACCCCAAGCUCUAGGGAGGGGCUGGGGAGAGACCCCCGCUGGGUCCCAGAGAUGGUUCUUGGGCCUCCACCAUUGGUCUAGCUGGAACAUAGCAAAACAGUGUCUUUGGGUCAAGCCUGGAUUGGGGUGGGGGGUUAUAGGGGGAAGUGGGGAGGAAGCUUGGGAGGGGGUGUGUCCUGGGAGGGCACCUGGGAGAAGAGGGUUUGGAAGGAAGUCAUGCACCUGUCUUUGCAAGCUUUAAGUGCCUCCAUCAUCCUCAUCAUAUUUGGCCUCCUUCUUGCAAUAAAUGUGGGGAAUAAUCAAUUCUCGCAACCUCCCAUAGUAGGUAAAGGGGAAAUGCCAACUGUGUAAAUAUGCCCGACAACCCCCCUCACCGAGGCUCUAGGGAAUGGACAGAUGACCACUUACUCGCAGCGUGACCUUGGGCGAGUACUGUCGCCUCUCUGAGCCUCAGUUUCCCCUUCUCUGACGAUCUCCUCAUUUCUCAGGGUUCUUGGGAGGAUGAAUGUAAUGGCAUGGACAAGGCGGACACAAAGGAGAGGCGAGGGAGGCGAGCGCGCGGCGCCGGCGCCCUGGCCAAGGCGUAUCGGACAAUCUCCGGGCUAAUUCGUGUCAGGGCCGGCCUCCUAUCUCCCGCCCGGCUCCCCGGCCGCUGAUAAAAUUGAAGUGGAAAUGAAGUUGGAUGCUCUGGAGCACCCGCGCGGCUGUGGGGGUGGCGGGGGCUCCGUCCGGGGC
rnacentral:lncRNA from 1 species